GAUCCUGGCUCAGGAUGAACGCUGGCGGCGUGCCUAACACAUGCAAGUCGAACGGAGUUUACAUGAAACCUAGUGAUUGUAAACUUAGUGGCGGACGGGUGAGUAACGCGUGGGUAACCUUCCCUGUACUGGGGGAUAACACUUAGAAAUAGGUGCUAAUACCGCAUAAGCGCACAGUGCCGCAUGGCACAGUGUGAAAAACUCCGGUGGUACAGGAUGGACCCGCGUCUGAUUAGAUAGUUGGUGAGG
rnacentral:rRNA from 1 species